UCACCUUGCAAACGCGUGCUCCACAAGCAACGCUCUGCCCCUCUAACAGGACAGCAUCGGGAGAACCAGGCGGGUGUGAGGCCGGGUGUGAGGGCAGGGCUGGGGGUGGCUCCAGGCGCACCUUCGCCUGCUCGGAGCUGCGGCCGAGCCGCGCCCUCGGAGCAGGAGCCCCUCCGCACACCGGGCCCGCUGCGGCCCGGCAGCAGCACCGCGCCCUCAGACCGGGCCCUGAGAGUGCGCCGGGCCCUGAGACAGAGCCCGGCCCUCAGACCGCCCCGGGCUCUCAGACCGCCCCCGGCCCUCAGACCGGGCCCUCAGACCGCCCCGGGCCCUCAGACCGCGCCCGCGGGGUGACAUGGGCAUUGAAGCGCUGGGGCCGGGCAGGGAGGGAGCUCAGAAUAGCUCGAGGAAGGAGCCUACGAAUUGGUUGCUGGUCUCUUCUCAUCUGCUCAUCUCAGAGGGGACCAGGAGAUUCCUACAAUCCGCCUAAACCGCAUUCCUGAAAAUUGUAGGAGGGGAACUGGACUAUACCAGGACACACUGGGUGGCAUCCUGGUUGCAGGGUAGGGACAUGGUGUGGCUUUGCUGCUGUUCUAUACCACCCACAUGUCACUGCUGGGGACAUGGUUUUUGGGGAAGCAAAGUUAUCCCAAGCAAGAAUAUGUCUACUAGAUGUAGAUUUCAGGAAAUCUUUUUUCCAAGACUCCUAACUCAAAAUGUUGAGUGUCUACCUUUGAACAUCCAGCUGUCCAUCACAAUCACCGAGAAUGUUACCAAAGACACUCAAGAUGCAAGGAUGGAAGACACCAUUUAUUCAAGGGUAAACAUCUAAUUAGCACAAACUGGCAACAAGACAUUGCCAGACUCUAGAACAUCCUUAUUUCCAGCACCUUGCCCCCUCCUCCCCUGGACUCAGUGAACUCUGAAUUUCCUAGACUUCAGCAGAGCAGCAAAGAGCAUGUGUGCAAUCCAGAUUACCUCUUCACCAAACCUUUGAUUUAGUUGGUCACAAAACCACAUCUUGCUUGGGAAAGUGGGUGGCAAAUAGAAUAUCAUUCAUUCAUUCAAAUCACCAUCCAUUUCAUGAGCAGGCUUUUGGCUGCUGCUAAACUCUGAAGUGUUUGCUGUGGUCAGAACGGAAGACCCAGGACUUAAGGAAUGAAAUGCCAGAGGAUCCAGCAAAAUCAGCUUAGCACUGGCUGAGCAGGGUGCAGAGGAUCAGCGUAACCCUCUGACACAUACUAGAGGCAACGUGCAGCAACAGGAAGUGCCUGCCAGUCAGGCUGCCUAUUAACUCAAAGGAACACUUCUCUACUAUUGAAAAAGUUGAUUUUUCUGCAUGCUGCAUUGUUUUACAGUAGUACUCCAGAGAUGCAUUGGUAGAGGCACUAACAAAUGCCUUGUUUGCCAUCUUUAAGAUUUAGAAAUUAAAUAGAAGACAUAUAUUGAAUAGGAAUCUGUAGUAUACAGCAGGGAAUUACUAUGUAAGCAAGACUGUGAAGAAAUAAACUAAAUCAACCUAUGGCUUUGUUUUCUUAGGCUGUCAUGAUCACCUUAGCAGAAGUGCCUUGCUGUUUUCUUCCAUCACAGAAGUUACCCAGUAUUUCAUGCUGGUGCAGAUGCUAGUGCAUGAAACACGUACAGAA